rnacentral:tRNA from 1 species
GGGACCUUAGCUCAGCUGGUUUAGAGCACUACCUCGACAAGGUAGGGGUCGUGGGUUCGAGUCCCACAGGUCCCACCA